rnacentral:rRNA from 1 species
CCUACGGGAGGCAGCAGUGAGGAAUAUUGGUCAAUGGACGAGAGUCUGAACCAGCCAAGUCGCGUGAAGGAUGACUGCCCUAUGGGUUGUAAACCUCUUUUAUAUGGGAAUAAAAUGUUCCACGUGUGGGAUUUUGUAUGUACCAUAUGAAUAAGGAUCGGCUAACUCCGUGCCAGCAGCCGCGGUAAUACGGAGGAUUCGAGCGUUAUCCGGAUUUAUUGGGUUUAAAGGGAGCGUAGGUGGGAUGUUAAGUAAGUUGUGAAAGUUUGCGGCUCAACCGUAAAAUUGCAGUUGAAACUGGGAGGCUUGAGUACAGUAGAGGUGGGCGGAAUGCGUGGUGUAGCGGUGAAAUGCUUAGAUAUAACGAAGAACUCCGAUUGCGAAGGCAGUUCACUGGACUGCAACUGACGCUGAGGCUCGAAAGUGUGGGUAGCAAACAGGAUUAGAUACCCCAGUAGUC